CUACGUGCCAGCAGCCGCGGUAAUACGGAAGGUUCGGGCGUUAUCCGGAUUUAUUGGGUUUAAAGGGAGCGUAGGCCGGAGAUUAAGUGUGUUGUGAAAUGUAGACGCUCAACGUCUGACUUGCAGCGCAUACUGGUUUCCUUGAGUACGCACAACGUUGGCGGAAUUCGUCGUGUAGCGGUGAAAUGCUUAGAUAUGACGAAGAACUCCGAUUGCGAAGGCAGCUGACGGGAGCGCAACUGACGCUGAAGCUCGAAGGUGCGGGUAUCGAACAGGAUUAGAUACCCUGGUAGUCCGCACAGUAAACGAUGGAUGCCCGCUGUUGGUACCUGGUAUCAGCGGCUAAGCGAAAGCAUUAAGCAUCCCACCUGGGGAGUACGCCGGCAACGGUGAAACUCAAAGGAAUUGACGGGGGCCCGCACAAGCGGAGGAACAUGUGGUUUAAUUCGAUGAUACGCGAGGAACCUUACCCGGGCUUGAAUUGCAGAGGAAGGAUUUAGAGAUAA
rnacentral:rRNA from 1 species